UACAACGCUCGCACGCGGAAAAGCUUUCGCAUAUGCUUCUAGGAAAAUACCAAUUUUAGAAUAAUCAUAUUACAAGUUAUGGAUGAUCACCGGCGCCGUGGAGAGGAAUGGACGCGCGUCUGGUGAGGCUAUAAGCGUGUUAGUUCGUGUACAAGCUUCGGGCAGCGGAUAAGCGCUGAUAAUGCGUCAAAACAACAGAAGGGAGGCUGGAAUAUGAAAUAUUACAGAUGAUUGAGACAGG